AAAAUUUUAAGUUAAAGUUUAAACUGUUAUUUUUCAAAAAUAAAAAUGCUCGUUGGCAAAUUUUA
rnacentral:tRNA from 1 species